UAAAUGCAUUAGUUAAGGCAGCAGCUGGCAGUUUAAUGUUACGGCAUAGAUUGUAAAUGCAAUAAUAAUUAAGGUAGCAGCUGGCAACGGCAUUUGGUGGUGUAUAUGCCUUGAUCUUGCUGCUUCUACAUACUUCUUGCAUUGGGCUUAAGUUUUUUGUUGGUAUACUUCUACAAUUUGCUAUCAGCCACAUAUAGUUUGCUAUCAGAUAUUCUCUGCGAUGCUUUACAGGAAUCGGUAGGCCAAAGGCAAUAAGGCGUUACUCUCGCUAUUCCCAGCUUUCAAUUGGUAGAAAGAGUGUAUAAAAGCACCAUGCCAUUUUCAAGAAGAUUUUGGUUCACUUCACACUACUCCUCAAGGUUCCCAAAUGAGAACUUAAAAACAAUCAACAGCUCCUUGCUUCAACUAGAUUUUUUUCCCCAUAUUGUUAUCUACAUUCCUAAUUAUAUUCCUAAUUUUUUUUAUGUGAUACUUGAAGAGUCUACAUUUGCACAUUUCAUUUGCUAAUUAACAUCUUAAUUUUGUUAAUU